GGCCGCUCUCAAAAUGGCCGCCGCGGCCACAAGGCCCUUCUCCUCCCCGGGCGGCCAGACCACGAGGAGGAAACUGAGGCUCAGGAACCAUCGGUAUCGUUCAGGAUUGUACAGCUAAUGAGACGACUUGCCUCCCAGGGUCGGAGAGUCAGCUCUGCUUGGGGGACAUGAAUUGCAGAUGGCAGGAAGGGGUCCCUGACCUAUGACCAGCAAGGGUCCCCAGCCUACCCAGCCCACCCAGCCCUGCUCAGCCUCGCCACCUCCCCGCUGCCAGCCUCACCCCGCCAGCAUCAGCCGCCCCAAACACCUCCCCCAUGGACGGGCUGCUUCCUGGCCUGAAACCCCAUCUGAAGAAAACAGAACUUCUCCAUGUUCGAGAUCAAGACCAGCCAUCUCUCCCCUGUGAAGCUUCCCGAUUCCAGGCCGAGGGAGCAGCGCCCAGCGCCCCUUGUGCACCCUACAAUAUGGGGCCUGUCCGGUGUGAGCUGCGAGCGGGCAGGGCUCUAUCUAAUCAUGCUGGGUCUCCCGA